AUUGAACGCUGGCGGCAGGCCUAACACAUGCAAGUCGAGCGAGCGGCGGACGGGUGUGUAAUGUCUGGGAAACUGCCUGAUGGAGGGGGAUAACUACUGGAAACGGUAGCUAAUACCGCAUACCAUCAUAUGUGCCCAGAUGGUAUUAGCUAGUAGGUGGGGUAAUGGCUCACCUAGGCGACGAUGCCUAGGUGGGCUGAGAGGAUGACCGGCCACACUGGGACGAAGGCAGGGACAGGACGCCGAGGGGAGACAGCGGAGGGGAAUAUUGCACAAUGGGCGGAAGCCUGAAGUGACCAGGCCGGGUGUGUGAAGAAGGCCUUCGGGGUGUAAAGCAAGGACAGCGGGGAGGCGUUACCCGCAGAAGAAGCACCGGCUAACUCCGUGCCAGCCGCCGCGGUAAUAC
rnacentral:rRNA from 1 species